AACGAACGCUGGCGGCAUGCCUAACACAUGCAAGUCGAACGAGAUCCUUCGGGGUCUAGUGGCGCACGGGUGCGUAACGCGUGGGAAUCUGCCCUUAGGUUCGGAAUAACAGUUAGAAAUGACUGCUAAUACCGGAUGAUGACGUUAAGUCCAAAGAUUUAUCGCCUGAGGAUGAGCCCGCGUAGGAUUAGCUAGUUGGUGUGGUAAAGGCGCACCAAGGCGACGAUCCUUAGCUGGUCUGAGAGGAUGAUCAGCCACACUGGGACUGAGACACGGCCCAGACUCCUACGGGAGGCAGCAGUGGGGAAUAUUGGACAAUGGGCGCAAGCCUGAUCCAGCAAUGCCGCGUGAGUGAUGAAGGCCUUAGGGUUGUAAAGCUCUUCUACCCGGGAUGAUAAUGACAGUACCGGGAGAAUAAGCCCCGGCUAACUCCGUG
rnacentral:rRNA from 1 species